CCCUUAGAUGUCCUGGGCCGCACGCGCGUUACACUGAUGCAUUCAACGAGCUUAUAACCUUGGCCGAGAGGCCUGGGCAAUCUUGUUAACGUGCAUCGUGAUAGGGAUAGAUUAUUGAAAUUAUUAAUCUUGAACGAGGAAUUCCUAGUAAACGCAGAUCAUCAAUCUGCAUUGAUUACGUCCCUGCCCUUUGUACACACCGCCCGUCGCACCUACCGAUUGGAUGGUCCGGUGAAGCCUCGGGAUUGUGGUUCUUGCCGCUUUAUUGUGGCGUGACCGCGAGAACUUGUCUAAACCUUAUCAUCUAGAGGAAGGUGAAGUCGUGACA
rnacentral:rRNA from 1 species